CACGGAUAAUUAGGUUACAGAUAACUCUUUCUUCCUUCGUUCAGACAAGCAGGCAUAUAUACGUUUAAACGGAAAUCUCCUUAUAUUAAAUUUUUGGACCAUGUGCAUAACAAUUGAAGCGACUAUAGCUAUACCAACCAUACCACACAUGGUUUCAUUACUCCGUCGAAAAGUGGUAUCAGCUUUCCAUCCGGAAUACAAAGCGCUUGUAGCGACAACGCUUCCUAAAUUGCCCAAUCCACUUACUAUCGCUAAUCCCGCAGCGACGCCUACAUCGCCAUGAGAAGGACCCAUUGCGCUUGAAACCCAUGUCAUUAUAAUAGGAACAGUCGG